rnacentral:rRNA from 1 species
ACGCUCGACACCUACGGGAGUCAGCAGUGGGGAAUAUUGCACAAUGGGGGAAACCCUGAUGCAGCGACGCCGCGUGAGCGAAGAAGUAUUUCGGUAUGUAAAGCUCUAUCAGCAGGGAAGAUAAUGACGGUACCUGACUAAGAAGCUCCGGCUAAAUACGUGCCAGUAGCCGCGGUAAUCUGAGCGGGCUGGCAAGGC